ACAGUGUACAUACGGCCAUGAAAGAGAUCACUUGACACUUAUUGUUCUCUCUUUUCUUUCACAAACAGGUUGAGUUUGAAGAACAAGAAAAACAGUAGAGGUCUACCCGGUACCUAUGGUUACACAUGAUGAUCAUAAGUGCAUGCAUCAUUUUGCAGAUUCUCAUCCAGGAUGAUGCAGCUCUACAAUUUCCAUGGAGGUGAUUGAUGAUGAUAAACAAUUGGUGAAGUAGGCCUAAUAGAACAGUGAUAGGACCACAAAGAGAAAUACAACCUACAGCAGUUAUAUGAGACUAGUGUAACAGAUGUUUUCAUUCAAGAAAUCCAACAAAUUGAAGAGUGACUUAGCUUAGGAAGCACUUGAUAAAGAUGGAAAAGGUUUUCUUUUUCAAGUCCAAUUUUUUUAUUUAUUAUUAUUAUCACAACCCCAAAUUCAUGAAGUAUGAACUUUCCUGUUGAUUUUCAUUAAAACUGGUUGCAAAAGGAGAAGCUAUAAACAUACAAAUAGGAGCGGC